UAAUUUUUUUGAAGAUUUACG
rnacentral:piRNA from 1 species